GACGAACGCUGGCGGCGUGCUUAACACAUGCAAGUCGAACGAAGAGCGACGGAAGCUUGCUUCUAUCAAUCUUAGUGGCGAACGGGUGAGUAACGCGUAAUCAACCUGCCCUUCAGAGGGGGACAACAGUUGGAAACGACUGCUAAUACCGCAUACGAUCUAACCUCGGCAUCGAGGAUAGAUGAAAGGUGGCCUCUACAUGUAAGCUAUCACUGAAGGAGGGGAUUGCGUCUGAUUAGCUAGUUGGAGGGGUAACGGCCCACCAAGGCGAUGAUCAGUAGCCGGUCUGAGAGGAUGAACGGCCACAUUGGGACUGAGACACGGCCCAGACUCCUACGGGAGGCAGCAGUGGGGAAUCUUCCGCAAUGGACGAAAGUCUGACGGAGCAACGCCGCGUGAGUGAUGACGGCCUUCGGGUUGUAAAGCUCUGUUAAUCGGGACGAAAGGCCUUCUUGCGAAUAGUGAGAAGGAUUGACGGUACCGGAAUAGAAAGCCACGGCUAACUACGU
rnacentral:rRNA from 1 species